GACGAACGCUGGCGGCGUGCUUAACACAUGCCAGUCGAACGGAAAGGCCCUGCUUUUGUGGGGUGCUCGAGUGGCGAACGGGUGAGUAACACGUGAGUAACCUGCCCUUGACUUUGGGAUAACUUCAGGAAACUGGGGCUAAUACCGGAUAGGAGCUCCUGCUGCAUGGUGGGGGUUGGAAAGUUUCGGCGGUUGGGGAUGGACUCGCGGCUUAUCAGCUUGUUGGUGGGGUAGUGGCUUACCAAGGCUUUGACGGGUAGCCGGCCUGAGAGGGUGACCGGCCACAUUGGGACUGAGAGACGGCCCAGACUCCUACGGGAGGCAGCAGUGGGGAAUAUUGCACAAUGGGCGGAAGCCUGAUGCAACAACGCCGCGUGCGGGAUGACGGCCUUCGGGUUGUAAACCGCUUUCGCCUGUGACGAAGCGUGAGUGACGGUAAUGGGUAAAGAAGCACCGGCUAACUACGUG
rnacentral:rRNA from 1 species